rnacentral:rRNA from 1 species
ACGAACGCUGGCGGCGUGCUUAACACAUGCAAGUCGAACGGAAAGGCCUGCUUUCCCUUGUGGAUUGCGGGUACUCGAGUGGCGAACGGGUGAGUAACACGUGAGUGAUCUGCCCCCAACUUGGGUAUAAGCCUGGGAAACUGGGUCUAAUUCCCGAUAGGACUGCAGGGUGGUGCCUGUGGUGGAAAACGAUUUUCUAGUGGUUGGGGAUGAGCUCGCGGCCUAUCAGCUUGUUGGUGGGGUAAUGGCCUACCAAGGCGGCGACGGGUAGCCGGCCUGAGAGGGUGGACGGCAACAUUGGGACUGAGAUACGGCCCAGACUCCUACGGGAGGCAGCAGUGGGGAAUAUUGCACAAUGGGCGGAAGCCUGAUGCAGCGACGCCGCGUGGGGGAUGACGGCCUUCGGGUUGUAAACUCCUUUCGACCGCGAGGAAGCCACCUGGUUGGAAGGGUGGUGACGGUAGUGGUAGAAGAAGCACCGGCUAACUACGUG